rnacentral:rRNA from 1 species
UCGGGAGAAGGUACGCUCUUGAUGGUGAAGUCCCUCGCGGAUGGAGCUGACGAGAGUCGCAGAUACCAGGUGGCUGCAACUGUUUAUUAAAAACACAGCACUGUGCAAAAUCGCAAGAUGACGUAUACGGUGUGACGCCUGCCCGGUGCCGGAAGGUUAAUUGAUGGGGUUAGCGCAAGCGAAGCUCUUGAUCGAAGCCCCGGUAAACGGCGGCCGUAACUAUAACGGUCCUAAGGUAGCGAAAUUCCUUGUCGGGUAAGUUCCGACCUGCACGAAUGGCGUAAUGAUGGCCACGCUGUCUCCACCCGAGACUCAGUGAAAUUGAAAUCGCUGUGAAGAUGCAGUGUACCCGCGGCUAGACGGAAAGACCCCGUGAACCUUUACUACAGCUUGGCACUGAACAUUGAACCUACAUGUGUAGGAUAGGUGGGAGGCUUUGAAGACGUGACGCCAGUUGCGUUGGAGCCGUCCUUGAAAUACCACCCUUGUAUGUUUGAUGUUCUAACUUAGACCCAUUAUCUGGGUUGAGGACAGUGCCUGGUGGGUAGUUUGACUGGGGCGGUCUCCUCCCAAAGAGUAACGGAGGAGCACGAAGGUGGGCUAAUCACGGUUGGACAUCGUGAGGUUAGUGCAAUGGCAUAAGCCCGCUUAACUGCGAGAAUGACGGUUCGAGCAGGUGCGAAAGCAGGUCAUAGUGAUCCGGUGGUUCUGUAUGGAAGGGCCAUCGCUCAACGGAUAAAAGGUACUCCGGGGAUAACAGGCUGAUACCGCCCAAGAGUUCAUAUCGACGGCGGUGUUUGGCACCUCGAUGUCGGCUCAUCACAUCCUGGGGCUGAAGUCGGUCCCAAGGGUAUGGCUGUUCGCCAUUUAAAGUGGUACGCGAGCUGGGUUUAGAACGUCGUGAGACAGUUCGGUCCCUAUCUGCCGUGGGCGUUGGAAGAUUGAAGGGGGCUGCUCCUAGUACGAGAGGACCGGAGUGGACGAACCUCUGGUGUUCGGGUUGUGUCGCCAGACGCAUUGCCCGGUAGCUAAGUUCGGAAUUGAUAAGCGCUGAAAGCAUCUAAGCGCGAAGCGAGCCCUGAGAUGAGUCUUCCCUGAUACUUUAAGUAUCCUAAAGGGUUGUUCGAGACUAGAACGUUGAUAGGCAGGGUGUGUAAGCGUUGUGAGGCGUUGAGCUAACCUGUACUAAUUGCCCGUGAGGCUUAACCAU